rnacentral:ncRNA from 1 species
UUUGUGGAGAGUUUGAUCCUGGCUCAGGACGAACGCUGGCGGCGUGCUUAACACAUGCAAGUCGAACGGUAAGGCCCCAGCUUGCUGGGGUACACGAGUGGCGAACGGGUGAGUAACACGUGGGUGACCUGCCCCGCACUUCGGGAUAAGCCUGGGAAACUGGGUCUAAUACCGGAUAGGACCGCAUCGUGAGGAUGUGGUGGAAAGUUUUUUCGGUGUGGGAUGGGCCCGCGGCCUAUCAGCUUGUUGGUGGGGUAAUGGCCUACCAAGGCGGCGACGGGUAGCCGGCCUGAGAGGGUGGACGGCCACAUUGGGACUGAGACACGGCCCAGACUCCUACGGGAGGCAGCAGUGGGGAAUAUUGCACAAUGGGCGGAAGCCUGAUGCAGCGACGCCGCGUGGGGGAUGACGGCCUUCGGGUUGUAAACUCCUUUCACCAUCGACGAAGGUUUUCUGACGGUAGAUGGAGAAGAAGCACCGGCUAACUACGUGCCAGCAGCCGCGGUAAUACGUAGGGUGCGAGCGUUGUCCGGAAUUACUGGGCGUAAAGAGCUCGUAGGUGGUUUGUCGCGUCGUCUGUGAAAUUCCGGGGCUUAACUCCGGGCGUGCAGGCGAUACGGGCAUAACUUGAGUACUGUAGGGGAGACUGGAAUUCCUGGUGUAGCGGUGAAAUGCGCAGAUAUCAGGAGGAACACCGGUGGCGAAGGCGGGUCUCUGGGCAGUAACUGACGCUGAGGAGCGAAAGCAUGGGUAGCGAACAGGAUUAGAUACCCUGGUAGUCCAUGCCGUAAACGGUGGGCGCUAGGUGUAGGGGUCUUCCACGACUUCUGUGCCGUAGCUAACGCAUUAAGCGCCCCGCCUGGGGAGUACGGCC